AUUUAGGCUGAAUGUUGGGAGACGUGCUGACUUUAAUUUUAAUUUGCUUGCUAUUAGCACCCGGAGAAGAGUAACAUCUCUACAGGAUCCCCAUGUCACACACAUGAUGUUGGAGAGCAUCUAGAGAAGAUUUCUUCCCUUCGUGCUGGGGUAUAGCAUGACCACAUUUAUGGUUGUCUUCUACUCUAUACAUGGCUGAAGAGAAUACUUGGUACUGAAUUUCCUCGCUUGGCUAUUUUUUCAUCUCGCAGUCCAGUGGUAGCACUUCACUCUAGAUGUUCAUUUGUCCUAUAAGGAUGUGCCCAGUCUAUGGUGUUUCUGUAUUUCAUAACUAUCUGCCCCAACACACUCCAGGGAUUGUAAGGUUUUAGCCACUGACUGUCCUGAGUGCCCUGUUACAGACUUCGACUAGUAGGUAAAAUACAGCAAGCAUGAAAACAUUUGCUGGCAACCUCUGAAAAGACUUCAUUGAGCUUUGUGGCUGCUACUCCCUGGGGCUGUUCCUGAAGCUCCAUCCAUGGACUCAUUCAGCUCACUUUUAAAGACUCACCUCUGCUGUCUUGUGUGUUGGUCUACUUGACUAUAACUGUAUGCCUGUAUAAAGUGUAUUUAUCUAUUUCUAUUCCAACUCUGCUAAUCCUGAUUUUGCCAUACUCGCCCUCAGGAUGUUCAUCUGUUAUUCUUUACUUAUGAACACUUCACUCUUUCAAUGUAACGAUUUUGAAAUUUUUCGUAUUUACUGUUCAUUUUGAAAUGUGUAAUUUCUUACUGAGUAAAUGAUACACUCUA